rnacentral:rRNA from 1 species
UACAGAGGGGGCAAGCGUUGUUCGGAAUUACUGGGCGUAAAGGGCGCGUAGGCGGCCUGCUAAGUCGAACGUGAAAUCCCUGGGCUCAACCCAGGAACUGCGUCCGAUACUGGUUGGCUUGAAUCCGGGAGAGGGAUGUGGAAUUCCAGGUGUAGCGGUGAAAUGCGUAGAUAUCGGGAGGAACACCUAUGGCGAAGGCAGCUCGCUGGGACGUUACUGACGCUCAUGUGCGAAAGCGUGGGGAGCAAACAGG